AAAAAGCUUCCAAUAGCAUGUAGAGAGAGAGAAUGGGUGGGUGCUUUUCGGACAGAAAGGGAGGACAACAGGCUAUAGGAGGGGCACAACAAAGGCCCAUGGCCAUGAGCGAUGAAAGAGCUGCUGAACCCAAUGAUGCAGUUGAUUACUUCUUCAGGGCUCGCGGUUAUCAUGGCCUCUUCACCCAACUCGAGGU